rnacentral:rRNA from 1 species
CAGUCGCAUCUGUUGGGAUUCAGCCUGGCUUCUGCCUGGUGUAUUUCCUUUCCGAUGGGUCAGCAUCAGUUUCGACCAAGGGAAAAAGACAUUUGGAAUGUGGCUGUCUUCGGGCAGUGUUAUAGCCUUGUGUUGUAUGUCUUGGUUGGGACUGAGGAACGCAGCGCGCCGCAAGGCCGGGUUUUUAACCACGUACGUGCUUAGGAUGUUGGCAUAAUGGCUUUAAGCGACCCGUCUUGAAACACGGACCAAGGAGUCUAACAUAUGUGCGAGUGUUU